rnacentral:rRNA from 1 species
AUUGAACGCUGGCGGCAUGCCUUACACAUGCAAGUCGAACGGCAGCAUGAUCUAGCUUGCUAGAUUGAUGGCGAGUGGCGAACGGGUGAGUAAUACAUCGGAACGUGCCCUGUAGUGGGGGAUAACUAGUCGAAAGAUUAGCUAAUACCGCAUACGACCUGAGGGUGAAAGUGGGGGACCGCAAGGCCUCAUGCUAUAGGAGCGGCCGAUGUCUGAUUAGCUAGUUGGUGAGGUAAAGGUUCACCAAGGCGACGAUCAGUAGCUGGUCUGAGAGGACGAUCAGCCACACUGGGACUGAGACACGGCCCAGACUCCUACGGGAGGCAGCAGUGGGGAAUUUUGGACAAUGGGCGAAAGCCUGAUCCAGCAAUGCCGCGUGUGUGAAGAAGGCCUUCGGGUUGUAAAGCACUUUUGUCCGGAAAGAAAUGGCUCUGGUUAAUACCUGGGGUCGAUGACGGUACCGGAAGAAUAAGGACCGGCUAACUACGUG